rnacentral:rRNA from 1 species
AUUGAACGCUGGCGGCAGGCCUAACACAUGCAAGUCGAGCGGAUGAAGGGAGCUUGCUCCUGGAUUCAGCGGCGGACGGGUGAGUAAUGCCUAGGAAUCUGCCUGGUAGUGGGGGAUAACGUCCGGAAACGGGCGCUAAUACCGCAUACGUCCUGAGGGAGAAAGUGGGGGAUCUUCGGACCUCACGCUAUCAGAUGAGCCUAGGUCGGAUUAGCUAGUUGGUGGGGUAAAGGCCUACCAAGGCGACGAUCCGUAACUGGUCUGAGAGGAUGAUCAGUCACACUGGAACUGGGACACGGUCCAGACUCCUACGGGAGGCAGCAGUGGGGAAUAUUGGACAAUGGGCGAAAGCCUGAUCCAGCCAUGCCGCGUGUGUGAAGAAGGUCUUCGGAUUGUAAAGCACUUUAAGUUGGGAGGAAGGGCAGUAAGUUAAUACCUUGCUUGUUUGACGGUACCAACAGAAUAAGCACCGGCUAACUUCGUG